AUUUAUUUUAUUUUAAAUGAAUAAUUUAUUUUAUUUUCGAUUUUCGAUAUAUUUUUUAUCCACUAAAUAUUACAAGCUUAAAAAAAUUAAAGAGAUAUAUAUCAAAUAAGACGCACAUACAUUCAAACAGAGUCUUUGUGUCUUUCAUAAAAAUUCUUUUAUUAAUAGUAAAUCAAUUUAUAUCAAUUUAUAUCCUAACACAUUAACAACUUACAAAAAUUUUCCAACGUUUGGGGGACCAAGGCAAUACUCUUGUGCAAAAAAGAGUUUCUUGUUUAAUAGCACAGUAGAAGCAAAUUAGGUUUAUUAUUAUUAUUAUUAUUAUUUUCUCUUUUUUGAAUCAUCUUAAAUCAAAAUCAACAUCCUU
rnacentral:lncRNA from 1 species